CUUUAAUGCUGGCUUAUAGCCAGCUAACUGCUUCUUACCCACAGAGAACACCGAGAGUAUCAAGUGUGCACAAAGCCGUAUUGCUUCUGUUCUUGGUUCAGCACCUGCGAAAGAAGAAAACAACCCACGCUUAUUCGGCAGACAAGUCAAACAGUGAAAACCAAUGAAAGUACACCCACUUGGUGGCAGCGAUUACCAUCUUGGAAUUUGCAAAGAAAACAAAAUUCCUACUGGGGUUUGGGAGAUUCUCACCCUGCUUAUUCCCAGCUCUGUGAGAGACGGCUGGAGGCUCUGAUGGAUGAUGCAGAAUG
ensembl:lncRNA